UGGGGUGUAGCCAAGCGGUAAGGCAGGGGACUUUGGAUCCCCGAUGCGGAGGUUCGAAUCCUCCCACCCCAGCCA
rnacentral:tRNA from 1 species